AUUGCUUCCUGGUAGGAUCACCUUUCUGCAUUUUUGGGGCUAAAUAUGUACCUAACUUUUUUGAGUUGUAUAACUUAGAUUCCAAAAGAAGUUUGGUGUUUUUGGUUGGAUUCAUAUUGCCAUCUUUGUUUUCUUAGUCAGGACAUCUUUGGUUGGUUGGUUGAUUAGCAAAAUUUUUGUUUGAAUGUGGAAUUCUUUUUGUUCCUCUUGGCAGAGGCCACCUGUUAUUUCUUUUUAUCUCUUCAUAUGCAUUCUUUUCCCAAGUACACUAUUGCUGUUUUCUGUGAAAAUGCUUGCUUUUAAGGAUUGAUAUUUGUGAUUUUG
rnacentral:misc_RNA from 1 species